ACAGCAGUAGCCGCGGGAAUACAGAGGGUGCGAGCGUUAAUCGGAUUUACUGGGCGUAAAGCGUGCGUAGGCGGCUAAUUGAGUCGGAUGUGAAAUCCCCGAGCUUAACUUGGGAAUUGCAUUCGAUACUGGUUAGCUAGAGUGUGGGAGAGGAUGGUAGAAUUCCAGGUGUAGCGGUGAAAUGCGUAGAGAUCUGGAGGAAUACCGAUGGCGAAGGCAGCCAUCUGGCCUAAUACUGACGCUGAGGUACGAAAGCAUGGGGAGCAAACAGGAUUAGAUACCCCCGUAGUCCCUGUAUCUUAUAA
rnacentral:rRNA from 1 species